rnacentral:rRNA from 1 species
AGUCGAACGGAAACGAUGGGAGCUUGCUCCCAGGCGUCGAGUGGCGGACGGGUGAGUAAUACUUAGGAAUCUACCCAGUAGCGGGGGACAACUCGGGGAAACUCGAGCUAAUACCGCAUACGCCCUACGGGGGGAAGCAGGGGAUCUUCGGACCUUGCACUAUUGGAUGAGCCUAAGUCGGAUUAGCUUGUUGGUGAGGUAAAGGCUCACCAAGGCGACUAUCCGUAGCUGGUCUGAGAGGACGAUCAGCCACACUGGGACUGAGACACGGCCCAGACUCCUACGGGAGGCAGCAGUGGGGAAUAUUGGACAAUGGGGGCAACCCUGAUCCAGCAAUGCCGCGUGUGUGAAGAAGGCCUGCGGGUUGUAAAGCACUUUCAGUAGAGAAGAAAAGCCUAUGGUUAAUACCCGUGGGUCUUGACGUAACCUACAGAAGAAGCACCGGCUAACUCCGUGCCAGCAGCCGCGGUAAUACGGAGGGUGCGAACGUUAAUCGGAAUUACUGGGCGUAAAGCGCGCGUAGGCGGCUUUGUAAGUCGGAUGUGAAAGCCCCGGGCUCAACCUGGGAAUUGCAUUCGAUACUGCAUGACUAGAGUAUGGUAGAGGGAAGUGGAAUUUCCGGUGUAGCGGUGAAAUGCGUAGAUAUCGGAAGGAACACCAGUGGCGAAGGCGACUUCCUGGGCCAAUACUGACGCUAAGGUGCGAAAGCGUGGGGAGCAAACAGGAU